rnacentral:rRNA from 1 species
AUGGCGUUUGUGGCCCGCGCGGCCAUCUUGGCCCGGGAUGCGGCGAUCGACCCCCGGUCCGUCGACGCCAAGAAGCUCUCCCUGAUCGCGGAUAUGGUGGGGCACGCCGCUGCGGCCGCGGGCUACGACGCCGAGCGAUUGAUGAAGGCGUCCUGUCAUCUGAUGGGAUGUGAACCCGAGAAGACGCCCGAUGCGGCAGACAAGAUUGGCAUCGCCGCCGGGAUGCUAGCCGGAGGAGCUCAACAGGAUCUCUUGGCGCAGGCCGCUCUGGAUUUGCAGCGAGCGGCGAGUCACUUCAGCCAAGCGGCAAUCAAGAAAUCCAACGCCGACAAAGUGGCCAACGCGGCCUCCCUGGUCCGGCAAGCUGCUUCUCGGUCGCCCCUCGACGCCACCUACCUCUCUUGGGUGGCGGAUAGGGUGGCCUACGCCUCCGCUAGAUACCUCAUUCGUCAGGAACCUGAAUCACUCCGGGAGGCUUCACAGUCCCUCGCCUCAUCCGAUCCUGAGAAGAGGCAGACGGCAGCCGACGCGGUCAGCGUCGCCGCCGCCCAUGUGGCUCAACGUGCCGAGGAGGCCAGCACUGACGCCGCCAUCGCGGACAAGGAAGCACUGGUUCUAUUAGCAGAGACAGCUCGCGAGCUAGAGCGCACGGUCAAGCAAUUCGGGGAGGCGGCGGCGAGGGAUUUGAAGGGGCGAGCUUGGAUGUUGCUGUUCGGGUGGCGCAACAAGGGGAAGGAGAAGGAGAACGAGGGCGGCGGCCUCAAUGAGCAUUUGCUCCCCGGUCCCUCAUCUUCCUCGUCCACAGGCACACCCGAACAACCUCAGCGGCAACACAAGGACCCCGACCUUGGAGACUAUUUGGGGUACCCACUAUUCGGCUCACUCACCCUACUGCCAUACUUGGGAGCUGAUGGACUGACAAAGGGCAUGUCACCCGACGAUAGAUGGUGGUUUCACGUUCUCUUCAGUUGCUUUUGGGGCAUGGUAGCUUUCGGUGCUCUGUGCAAGCAUAGCCAGUAUCGAGUCUUAAUCUGGUAUGCUUGGCUUGCUGACCGUAUUGGCAUGCUGGCCAUCACCGCCCUUGUGGUGUUCUACAGCUGCUUUAUUAUAGCACCAGAGGCCACUAGAACUGUCAAAUUCAUUUUGGGCGCUGCUGCUGCUAUACAUAUAGGGUCUUCCAUUUUGGAAGCAGUGAGUUUUUUGUUGCAAAGCAGGAGGCAGUGA